CUACGGGCGGCAGCAGUGGGGAAUAUUGCACAAUGGGCGCAAGCCUGAUGCAGCAACGCCGUGUGAGUGAAGAAGGCCUUCGGGUUGUAAAACUCUGUCCUAAGGGAAGAAACAAAUGACGGUACCUUAGGAGGAAGCCCCGGCUAACUACGUGCCAGCAGCCGCGGUAAUACGUAGGGGGCAAGCGUUAUCCGGAAUCACUGGGCGUAAAGGGUGCGUAGGCGGCCUGGCAAGUCAGAGGUGAAAGGCAUUGGCUCAACCAAUGUAAGCCUUUGAAACUGUUGGGCUUGAGUGCAGGAGAGGUAAGUGGAAUUCCUAGUGUAGAGGUGAAAUUCGUAGAUAUUAGGAGGAACACCAGUGGCGAAGGCGACUUACUGGACUGUAACUGACGCUGAGGCACGAAAGCGUGGGGAGCGAACAGGAUUAGAUACCCGCGUAGUC
rnacentral:rRNA from 1 species